AAGAUAUUAGUAAAAUAAUUACAUAACUUUGUCAAAGUUAAAUUAUAGGUUAACGACCUAUAUAUCUUU
rnacentral:tRNA from 1 species